UGGGUGGGUGUCAGAGAGAGAGAAUAAUUAAUAGAGAUCGAAAUGCUUCUCUUCUAGAUCAAUGGUCUGAAGCUUGCUAGGUCUGUACUGAUAGAAAAUAGUUGGUAUCACAUGUAAAAGUUGGAUGGAUUCUGUUUACUUAAGAGUAGAAUGUUGUCUACCUCAGACACCAUAGUUACAGCUAGUUGAUACACAGCAGAAAGUCCAAGGAUCAAAUGUACAUGAAGGUUGAACUACAUUCUCACUCUUAAGAUUGGUCCCUCCAGGUUAGAGUCAAGAAUGAAAUCCUGGACCUACUUACGUCAACAGCAAAACUCCCAUUCACUUCAAUGGACCAGCAUUUCACCCCAACUGUUCAGGCUAUUGCUGUAGGGCCAGAUUUCUCCCCCUUGCUCACAUACUCCAUGUAAUCCCACUGAAAUCGAUGUGAAGAAAGGUACUAUUCAAUGUCCUGAUGAAAAGUUUGAAGUUGCUGACUUGGUUGAGAGUUAUUCACUAGGGGCCAGAAUCUACUCUCACUUCACGGGUGCAACUCCAUUUACCUAGGAAUAACCUGGUCCUAAGGAUGGCUAAACUAUCUGCAGAGGAGAAGGUCAAUGAAGUUGACUACCCACUCUGGUCUUGAUGAUCUAAGAGCCCCAUAUGCCAGACCAUAUCAUAUGCUGCUGUUGGAUCCAGAAAUACAGCUUCCAUCUUCAGAUUUUUUCUGAAAACCAUUUUUAAUGAAUGUUAUCAAAGCUAGCACUUGA